CGGCGGACGGGUGAGUAAUGCCUAGGAAUCUGCCUGGUAGUGGGGGAUAACGUCCGGAAACGGGCGCUAAUACCGCAUACGUCCUGAGGGAGAAAUGGGGGGAUCUUCGGACCUCACGCUAUCAGAUGAGCCUAGGUCGGAUUAGCUAGUUGUGGGGUAAAGGCCUACCAAGGCGACGAUCCGUAACUGGUCUGAGAGGAUGAUCAGUCACACUGGAACUGAGACACGGUCCAG
rnacentral:rRNA from 1 species